GUGAAAUUGUUGAAAGGGAAACGAUUGAAGCCAGUCGUACCUACGGGUAAUCAGCCUUUCGGGAGCGAUUCUGUGGGUUUUGAGGAGCUUCACGGCCCUCGGGUCUGCAUAUUCGUACCCCUUGGGUGUACUUUCCCGGUGGUAGGUUAACAUCAAUUUCGGUCGUUAUAAAAUGACUGGAGGAAUGUAGCUUCGAUCUCGUAUUGAAGUAUUAUAGCCUUCGGUAGAUGUGAUGAUCGAGAUUGAGGAUUGCAACGGAUACCCUUCGGGGCUACCUGUCAGAUCUCUGAUCGUUGCUCUGGUGCCGAAAGCUUGCUUACGGUUAUCAAAGUCGAUGGUCAAUAGGUUAGAACGGGUUAAAUUCGUUAAGGAUGUUGACGUAAUGGCUUUAAACGAC
rnacentral:rRNA from 1 species